AGUGAACGCUGGCGGUAGGCCUAACACAUGCAAGUCGAACGGCAGCACAGGAGAGCUUGCUCUCUGGGUGGCGAGUGGCGGACGGGUGAGGAAUACAUCGGAAUCUACUCUGUCGUGGGGGAUAACGUAGGGAAGCUUACGCUAAUACCGCAUACGACCUACGGGUGAAAGCAGGGGAUCUUCGGACCUUGCGCGAUUGAAUGAGCCGAUGUCGGAUUAGCUAGUUGGCGGGGUAAAGGCCCACCAAGGCGACGAUCCGUAGCUGGUCUGAGAGGAUGACACGCCACGCUGGAACUGAGAGACGCACCAGACUCCUACGGGGGGCAGCGGGGGGGAAUAUUGGACAAUGGGCGCAAGCCUGAUCCAGCCAUACCGCGUGGGUGAAGAAGGCCUUCGGGUUGUAAAGCCCUUUUGUUGGGAAAGAAAUCCAGCUGGCUAAUACCCGGUUGGGAUGACGGUACCCAAAGAAUAAGCACCGGCUAACUUCGUGCCAGCAGCCGCCGUAA
rnacentral:rRNA from 1 species